GAUCUCGUGGCGCAGUGGUAGCGCGUGUGAUUCCAGCGAUCUUGGAAUUUCCACAAGGUCAUCCGUUCAAUCCGGGUCGAGAUCA